GCCUUUCUAGUUCAAUUGGAUAGAACGCUGGUCUUCUAAACCAGAGGUUGUGGGUUCAAGUCCCGCGAAAGGCU
rnacentral:tRNA from 1 species